CGAUUGUUAAACGGUUCGUACCUAACAUCACGAUAUUCGAACGACUACGAGCGUAGCAAUGUAAACGGGGGGACUGGGAACGCGUUAAAUACGUAUAAAAGUAUCGACACAGUGAAUCAAAGUCUAGCUUCCGAUGGAUAACCUAACCGCGCUCUUCUCACUCUCGGAGCACCGCUUCCUGUCACCACGAGUUCGAGCAUUUCGGGAUUGUGAACUGGCCUCUCUGGUACGAUACAUCCUAGAACUAUGGGUCCUCGUGUCGAACUCUCCAGCUGCAUCAAACCACCAUAUUCUCUUGGCAACGGUACAGGAAGAGGACCAGCUAUCAAACGAACCUGAAAAACAUGAAUCUUCAGCGAUGGUGACGAGACAACAACGUUUCGAUUGGAUUCGCUAGAUAAACCGAUGAGUUCAACUUUAUAAGAUACAGGAUUAAUUGAGGUCACGUUUUAUAACAGGUUAUAAAACAGGUUUUAUUACUUUCCCGGUUGUUAUUGAAUACAAAACAUACAGAUUUUGAGAGCGAAUGGGUGUUUGCAGUGUUGAUUCACUUCUGAAGGGGAUCGAUUCGAACGGCUCACCCAGUAUACAAUUCGACUUACAGGUAAAGCUCCAGAACGAAUUAACCGUGUAAGUCGAGGACUCGUAUUCUGCAGUCCUCUCUCGUUCCCUUUUGUCCAUUCUUUGGUUCCCUUUACGCCGUCCUUAUCUUCCCUUACCCUGUUCUACGCUCUCUUAUUGUCUUCUGCAUCUCCUCUUUCGUACACACUCUCGUCGUCAAUCUCGAUCGGAUUUUUUCAUCCGCUGACCCGUGCUCUUAAUUAAGGCCCCAGAGGGACACGAGCAGAUCGGUAAAAAGGCGAUGGCGCAAGAAGUUAAUUCACGGAUCGCUCGACUAACGAGGUCCUGCAUAGCCCCGUGCGUAUGUCGCAACGGCAAGUCAGAUUCUAAGCCUGAUGGAUAUUCGUGUCCGCGAUAUCGUCACUUACCCAUUUUCGAGUGCGUCAAAAUGUACGCCCGCAGUGGCGCCGCCAGUAGAAACGUUGGCACUCCUGCUCGCACCAGGGAGUCCACUCUUCUGUAAACGCGCGCGCCACCCGUUGUAUUGGUGCCAGAUAUCACAGAAAACCAUCCUGAAACCAAAAGAAAUGGAAACUCAGCUAAUUUGUAAAAUAAAGCGGUGAACGUAAACAAUUUUAACGCAAUUUAAUAUUUGAAUUCAUGUUAUAGGUAUCUUUGGUCAGACGGUGAAAAUUAAUGCUACGUGUAAGUGAGAUGUCGUAAGAGUUCGUGCUUUCGAUUAUAACGUUUAAAAGGAAUGCCCCCUGCAUAA